AAGUCGUAACAAGGUCUCCGUAGGUGAACCUGCGGAGGGAUCAUUAACACGUAUCCAACACGUUUAAACCAAACCUCGUGCUCCUCAUCUCAACCAUACUAUUCUCGCUUACGGGUCGUAUUGCACAAGCCACGGAUGGAUUCUUCUACUCGACACUUUCGCAAGAAGGCUAGAGGGGAGGACUGCUUGUCGAUGCUAUUGGGUACUUGAUACUCAGCCCUGAGUGUAGUGUGGCCCCAAGCCAUCUAACCAAUUUUAACCCCUUUUUUUUAAUUUAAACUGACUUAUACUAUUCUGAACCGAAAGGUGAAGAAAGAGUUAUACGAAACGCGAACAACUCUUAGCAAUGGAUAUCUUGGUUCUC
rnacentral:misc_RNA from 1 species